rnacentral:lncRNA from 1 species
CAAGACCCUUAUUCACCAAAUAUAGGUUGUUAAACGUCUUUAGGAAAGAACAAGACCCUUAUUGACCAAAUAUAGGUUGUUGAAUGUCUUUAGGAAAAAACAAAACCCUUUUUGACCAAAUAUAGGUUGUUAAAUGUCUUUAGGAAAGAACAAGACCCUUAUUCACCAAAUAUAGGUUGUUGAACGUCUUUAGGAAAGAACAAGACCCUUAUUCACCAAAUAUAGGUUGUUGAACGUCUUUAGGAAAGAACAAGACCCUUAUUCACCAAAUAUAGGUUGUUGAACGUCUUUAGGAAAGAACAAGACCC